UUUCCCUUCAUCCUCCUCCCUCAGAAGUAGGGUUUCCGGAACCCAAUGCUGCCGGAGAGGGUCGUCGCAGCUCAUCCCCGGAGCCAGAUAAAUAAGAUUGUUAGGAGCAGAGAGCUUGACAUACUUCAAGGUUAUGAAGAUAAUUGAAUAUGAAAUGCUAAAAUUCUUAGAAGCUCUGUAUCGUUCCCUAUUGGUGAAACACUUUAUGACAUCUAUGAAUAAAAUUGUUUGCUUUUGAUAUGAAAUUUUUUAAUAUGGCUUCGUGUUAUCGUGGGCAAAGACAUGCACGGUCGUGAUACGAGGUGGAUCUGGGGCAUGACAGAUCCUAUCUAAUAUCUUAAUCGUCACAAAAACAGAAUUGAUUGCAUGCAUAAUUACUGAAAGUUGGUCCGGAUGUUUUGGAGGUAUCUACAUGAAUGUGGCUGACUUCUCGUAGGACUAGACAAACCAUUAGUAGUAGCGUGUAUAGACCAAACCCUCGUGAACUGACUCUUAGAAGGGCCAUUCUUGCUUAAAUCAUGGGUGUGCUGAUGAAAUAAAUUCGUUUACCUUCUACAGUGAUCUUCUUCGACAUGCUUAAUCUGUGGACUUGGGUAUUCUAGUCCUUCGUGUUUCCAGUGACUCGACACAUAGCUGCUGCACAACUAGAGGACACUUCUUACACGGUAUACCGUUACCUAAAUUGCUAGAAAGUUUCAUUAUAGGAUAUGCCAUUUGUAAGUCAAAUGAGACUUAUAUUAGAGGUCAAUAUACUUUAGCUAAACUUGCAUCAAAUCAACAAUUAAGAGAGAGAGAGAGAGAGAGAGAGAGAGAGAGAGAGAGAGAGAACUUGCAUGAACAUCUUACCAUUAUACCUGUGACUAGAGUUUAAUAGAUUCUUAUAUGGAUGGCUGUGGACUCAUGAUGUCAAAAAAAAAAAAAAAAAGAAACAAAAAAUGAUGAAAUUUGGACACUUUAAGAUGGGAUAUUUGAAAACUAGUGAACAAAAAAUCAUGCAGGUGUGUUAAGAGUUGCCAUUCACCUAUGUGCUGACAUUAUGUUUAAAGAGGAUGGUGUAAUAGGCCACGUAAUCGCAUGCAACAUUUGAGUAUAACCUAGUAAUAGAGUAAUACAUGCUUUUAUACUCUACAUGGACUUAGUAAAUAACCAUCGUAUAACCGUGCCACCAUAUUGUAUGCAAGGAAAAAAAAAUGAAGUUACAUCAACAGUUUAUACUUGAUAUUAUAAAGGUCAAAUUAGGACCCUCCUUACAGAAAGGUGGGCUGCCCUGGCAA